rnacentral:rRNA from 1 species
GACGAACGCUGGCGGCGUGCUUAACACAUGCAAGUCGAACGGAAAGGCCUGCUUUCCCUUGUGGAUUGCGGGUACUCGAGUGGCGAACGGGUGAGUAACACGUGAGUUAUCUGCCCCCAACUUGGGUAUAAGCCUGGGAAACUGGGUCUAAUUCCCGAUAGUACUGCAGGGUGGUGCCUGUGGUGGAAAACGAUGUUCUAGUGGUUGGGGAUGAGCGCGCGGCCUAUCAGCUUGUGGGUGGGGUACAGCCCUACCAAGGCGGCGAGGGGGAGCCAGCGUGAGAGCGUGGACGGCGACAUUGGGACUGGGACACGACCCAGACUGCUACGGGCGGCAGCAGUGGGUGGUAGUGCACCAUAGGCGGAAGCCUGCUGCAGCGACGACGCGUAGGGGAUGACGGCCUUCGGGAUGUAAACUCCUUUCGACCGAGAGGAAGCCACCUGGUUGGAAGGGUGGUGACGGUAGUGAUAGAAGAAGCACCGGCUAACUACGUG